ACUGAGGGCGGUAGUGUUUUUUUCGUUGACCAUCAAUGAAAUUGGAUGUGGUUGGGAAUGAGAGACACUCACCGCUUUUUAGAGC
rnacentral:pre_miRNA from 1 species